GUUUUAAUAAUUUAAAUAAAAAUUUUAGUCUUGUAAACUAAAUUUAGGCUAAUCCUUUAAAACU
rnacentral:tRNA from 1 species